GACAGAGGCCUCAAGCGUUAGGCGGAAUCACUGGGCUUAAAGCGUGUGUAGGCGGACUUCUAAGUGCCUUGUGAAAUCCCACGGCUCAACCCGUGGAACUGCUGGGCAUACUGGGGAGUCUUGGGCCAUUCAGGGGCAACUGGAACAAGCGGUGGAGCGGUGAAAUGCGUAGAUAUCGCUUGGAACGCCGAAGGUGAAAACAGGUUGCUGGGGAUGUGC
rnacentral:rRNA from 1 species